GGUUAUUAGUAUGAGGAGGGUAGCCAUGGCAAAGGCACGGGGAGAUAUCUUAGGAGCCAUUGAUUGGCUCUGUAAAUAUCUUGAAAUGUGCUUUACACAAUCGGUGGACUUGAAAAUCUUCAGACGGCUAAGAAGUAUUACGCAUCAACUAUAGAGUUGACAGGUGGAAGAAACACGAGAGCACUGUACGGAAUUUGCUUGUGCACUUCUGCAAUUGCGCAACUGACUAAAGGGAAGAACAAUGAGGACAAGGAGAUCUCAAGAUUGGCAGCUGCACCAUUGGAGAAAGAUUACAAGCAGAUUUCUCCAGACAAAGUUUCUCUGCUCGGGUCGACCCUAAAAACCAUGAAACUUCAAUAACUUAGCUUAUCAUUCACUAUAUAAAACCGUUAUUAGUCGAAAAGAUUCAAUUUUUAAGUGUUACAUGUUGUAAUUCUUGAUUUAUUGAUAUUAUGUUCUUUAUUCAGUUUUGGAUUGAUGUUAAUAAUAGACAAAGCAGUGUGACUU